CCUACGGGCGGCAGCAGUCAAGAAUCUUCCUCAAUGGACGAAAGUCUGAAGGAGCGACGCCGCGUGUAUGAAGAAGCCUUUCGGGGUGUAAAGUACUUUUAACUGUGACAAAACAAUGAUGGUAGCAGUUGAAUAAGGGGCUGCUAACCUCGUGCCAGCAGCAGCGGUAAUACGAGGGCCCCAAGCAUUAUCCGGAUUUAUUGGGCGUAAAGCGUCCGUAGGUGGUUUAUCGCAUCUCCUGUUAAAUCUCGAGGCUCAACCUCGAGUCCGCGGGAGAGAUGGACAAACUAGAGAUUGGAAGAGGCAAACGGAAUUGCUGGUGUAGGGGUUAAAUCCAUUAAUAUCAGCAAGAACACCAAAUGCGAAGGCAGUUUGCUAGGACAAAUCUGACACUCAGUGGACGAAAGCGUGGGGAGCGAAUGGGAUUAGAUACCCGUGUAGUC
rnacentral:rRNA from 1 species